rnacentral:lncRNA from 1 species
UCUCAAAGAAGGAUCAUUGCGAAUAUGAAAGUAUUUAAGUUGCGGACACUCGAACCCUUGAGGAAGCUCACUAAUAUUACUAUUCUUUAAGGAGAUUGCGGUGCAAACCUUCAGUGUAUCCUUAUCUGGCCAGCUGGUCAGCGGAACAACCUCAUUUUCCACCGCAAACACAUGUUGGACCCUAGAUGCAAUUGAUAUGGCAACAUCACGAACAACAUCAUGCAUAGAAAACCUUUCACUAGUAUCGCCAUCAAGCAGCAAGCAAGAGUUCUUGAGUUUAUCAACCAAUGUAUGUGCUCUAUCCCGUGCCUCUUCCAACGUGUUGAUGUUUUGAAACAGACCCAGACCCAUGCCAUAAUAGAUCACGUCUUCAACGCAAGAGAUGAACGAGUACCCUAUUAGCAAAAACGUUUUCCUGAGUUCCUCACCUUCUAAAUGAUAGUAACUCAGCUCUAAACUUGAAUAGGCGGGCCCCAAAAAAGACUUAUUUUUCAAUUGUCGUAAAGCAUCCUUCCAUACAUAGAGACUCGACUUAUUUUUCAAUGCCUUUGCUACGGGUACAAUGGCAAUGGGCAAACCAGCACAUUCCUUGACUAUCUCUGUUGCGACAGAUUUCAGUUCACCAUUUUCUAUGCAAUCACCUGUCAUCUUCUUGAAAAGACUCCAAGCUUCUUUUUCGUUCAGAACAUCAACAAAAAAAUUUUGUUCACAAUCCAUUUUACAAGACAACACAUCUUGACUUCUUGCUGUCAGCAGAACUUUACAUCCGCCGUUAUCAUCUGCCAAUGGAAUUCCAAUGGCCUCCAAAUCAAGACUCCCCCAAAUAUCAUCCAAGAUUAUCAGGAUCUUUGUCUCUUUCUUCAAUCGUUCAAGCAGCCUCCCUGCUCUUACAGUUUCAUGACUCUGUUCAGCCAAUUCUAAGCCUAUCUUCUCUGCGAUUUCUCCUUGUAUUUCUUUUGUUUGCAGUGUUUGGGAAACACGUGAAGAAAUGACCUUCUCAAAGAGAUUAUUUUCCUUGGCCUGUCUGCCAACUUCUUUCACCAGCGUUGUCUUUCCAAUGCCACCCAUCCCGUACACCCCAAUCAUGUUGAAGUUACGGUUGCUGAGUGCGUCUAGUAUCUCCUUCAAGGUGGACUUUCUCGAUUCAAAGUGCAUGAAAUCCUGGGUAGACUUAAGCCAUGUCUCCUCUGGAAUGGUACGGAAGGAAACACUGUCGAAUCUCCCUUUUUCAUGGAGUCCAACUAUAGCAUUCGCUUCUCUUUCUGCUUUCUUGCUAAGCUGGUACCGAGUCUUCAAAUUAGGACACAACCCUUUCAGACACCGGUUGUUUGACUUCUCUUUGUCUUCAAUAAGUGUUUCGACUUCGUUGAUUGCCUCGUCCACAGUAAUCAGCCACUCCUCAACGUGCUGUUGAAUUCCGUCCCCUUUAAUUCUGGAAUCAGCAACCUUAUGUUGCACACUGUCUCUAGCAUUCUUGAGCUUAUCGACUUCAUUAUUCAGCUUCUCGAAGUUGGUCUUGUAAGUGCAGCAGUAAGUAAAUGGAUGAAUUAUGGGAGCAACCAAGUACUCUGCAACUUUUGCAGCAACGGGGAUAACAAUAUCCAUUAUCCCUUUUUUUUUUUUUUUUUUUUUUUUUCUUUCAGAAAACAGGGGAAAGCAAAACUAAUCAAACUGAGCAGAACUAAUCAAUCAGCUGGGAAGAGGGAAAUAAGAAGUUUGGAUAAAUUGCUAAAAUAAGAGGUUGAAUAGAUUUAAGGGAGGAGGAGAGGAAAAGAGUAAAAAAUCUAGAGAUUAAAGAAAGGGGGAUCCUUUUUCUGCCAAGACAAAUUGAAAAGCGAGUGCAAUGAAAGAUUUUCAAAGAAGGUAUAGGAUCGAGGACAAGGAUUAUUAAGAAAAGGGAGACAGAAACUGAAGAAGAGAUUUCAGAGAACUCCAGAGAUUAGAGAAGAGGGAUGAUUAGGAAAAUGCGGAGGCAGGCAGUUGUGAUCUCAAGUCUCAAGGGUCAUCUGAAUAAUGCAAAAAAGCCAAACUAAAUUCAAACAGGGAGAAGACUCGUGCUUCCAAGUCAACUAUAGAUUCUUAAUAACUGAGAUAGAUGGUUAUAGUUGCAUGUAGAUAGUGUCAAAGUUAUAGGUCAAUUGGACAGCGCAAGGUGGCCUUUUGGCAUUUCAUUGAAUUUUCUUGUUACCAGUAAGUGCUAUGCUGCCGUUGCCGGCCUUUAUGAUUUUUUUUUUUGAAUUUUUAUUGAAUUUUCUUGCGCUUUUCUAAUAACUCCGCUAUAAAGCCCAUGUUUCGGGCCUUUAUGAUUUUUUAUUUUUUUUAAGAAAUAGAUAUACAAAUAAAAUGAAAAAAAAAAAAAAAAACCUGUUGCGUGGUCGUGUGGGUCCUCGAAAUCACUUCGGCAUUUAAUGGAGCGGUUGGAUGUACUCAGCAUCUACACUUCCACGAAGGUUCCUGGAAGUUGCGAGUGUUGCCGGCAUUUUCAAACUCGGAAGGUUUCAAGAAUUUUUCUUUUCUUUGAAAUAAAGGUUUCAAUAAUUAGCUUUGAUUAUUAUGUAAUAUACGAUAAUCUAGUGAUGACGACGACUUAUAUAUGUGAUUAAAUGCUAAGCUGGUGGAUUUGUAAGUAAGAACACAAGGCAAAGCAUUUUUAUCUUCUUAUUACCACAUUCUUCUAAUCAAUUUGCUUUCACCAACAAAAAUAAUCAAUAAUUUUAAAUAGUUGGAUCUUAAGCUCAAAUUUUGACAAUACAUGAAUGAUAAUGCAUACUUAUUUUUCAAGUGCAAACUCUAUUCAAGAGAGGAUCUCAAUUUUCUAUUAUAGAAGAUCUAUUCGAGAGAAGAUCAUAGUUAAAGCUUUGCGUUGAUUGGGGAACAUCAAAUACAAACAAAGACCACGCUAAAAGAAAAGCAAAAGCUGGCGAGAUUGAUAAAGAAAGACUAAUAAAGCUUUCCUUAACAGCAUUAAUCAUGAUUAUUUGAUAAACUAGAGGUGAUCACUGACAUUCAUGAGAAAUUUAACGGUAGGAAAAAGAAGUUAAAAAAAAUGGACAUUCGUGGGAAACCGGCCUUGAUGGUUAAUGUGCAACCGGAUGUGAGCAAAAGGUCACGUAGUGAGGGCAUUGUCACAUGGUUGGAGAAAUUGACAGCAUUUUUAAUUGUUGUCAAUGAGGUUGGUGAAGGUAGGAAAAGAACAAAUUUGGGUUAUUCCAUUGUUUUGGGAAAAACAUUGAAAGCGGUGAAAGAAAAUGUCAAUGAAAAUUGGUCGGAGCAGUACAAAGAUCAGUUAUGAAGAAUAUUAGGGAAAUGAAAAACUGAAAAAACAAAAAUCAAGAAAUAUGAAGAGACCAGUGAAGGGGACAUGGCAGAGGCCAAUUUAUAAAAGUAAUUGCAGAGGCGAAUUUGUAGAACUGAAAAUAGGGAGAUGAGUUGUAGGUGGGAAGAUAUGAAAAAUAAUAUACUUAAAAUUAUAUCAUUUUAGGUUAAUUUUUUUAAAAAUAAAACCAAAACCACAUCAUUUUAAAUAUAAUUCUUUAUCAAUUUAUUUUUUUUGUCUCCAAUCAUUUGCUAAACCAUAUCAAACAGGUACUUAUUCAAAUUUUACAUUUUCUGUUCUCAAAAGUAAACGAAAAUGAAAUGAAAAAAAGAAUGAGACUUGGCUCGGGUGGCUAAUGCUGACAGUGGCUAAUGAUGCCGACAUCUUCCAACUUGCAACAACGUUAAAAAUACGUAGCCUUAACUAAUUGCCUAAAUAAUAAAAAUACUUAGCCUCAGCUGACUUGUUCCAAAUCAUUAAAUAAUUCUUUUAAUUAUUAAAUAAGUUUGCUCUUGCUAAAUGCUAAUGGAUACUGAGCAGAAUGUCAAAGACGAAUAACUGCAUUUGGAAUAAAAAUAUUUCGAUAUUAGUUUGAAGGAAAAGUCUAGUAUUAAAUUGUUCUUCAAAUAUGUACAAGCUCAGAUCUUGUAAUUUGUAUGACCUUUUUUCGAAGAUGAGAAUAUUUCUACCUUACACGCUUUAGAAAAACUAGGUGAUAGGAAAAGAGUGUAGGAUAUAAAUUAAAGCUUAAUAAUAUUAUGAUCAAUUACUGAAAUAUUACCAUGGGCACUAGAUGAUAGGAAAAUAGCUCAUUUAUACAUUAAUAGAUUAUAUUAGUGAUAUAAGGACUUUUAAUCAAACUCAUGCCCCAAGUUGGGAACAGCUAAACGGGCAUUUCAUCGAACAGUUGAUAUUUGUAAGUAAGCAAGCACACGGCAAAGCAUUUGAGCAAAUAUUUUUAUCUUCUUAUUGUCGCAUUCUUCUAAUCAAUUAGCUUUGACCAACAAAAAUAAUUAAUAAUGUAAAUGGAGGAACUUGGGUUCAAAUCUAUAAAUUAAUAUCGGUAAACUACAACCCUAUUUUGAUCAAAGUUUUCAACUCAACAAAUAUAGAUUAGAGAUUAUUUGUUAAUAAAAUAUAAAAGAGCCCAAACAAAAAAAGAUUUGACAGUAUACGAAUAAUAAUUUAUACUUAUUUAUUGAAUAUAUCUUAUUUUAAUCGCUUAAGGAAUUACAAAGUUGAUGAAAAAAAAUUUAUUUUUUUUAUUUUUCACUUCUUAAAAAUUUUUGGAUGAAGAGAAUCCUCAAUCUUCAUUUACGUUCAGUGGUGGAUCCACACGGAGCCUAUAGUGGGCAAUUAAUUGACUCCCGUAAAUUUUUUUUUCCAUAAUUUUCUAUUUAUUUUUGAUAUUUUCAUGAAAUUACAUAAAUACUUGCAUAAUUGCCCCUAAUAAAUACAAAGUCUAUCAAUUUCAUUAAUUUUUUUUUAAUUAUUGUGUUGUCCCUUGUAAGCCAAAUUUUUAGAUCCGCCCUUUAAAUAGGUUGUUACAUUUAUUGUUCUCAAAAGUGAUGACUUCUCCUAGUAUGAAGCUCCUACCAUAAGAAAAAGGUCUCCAUAAAACAUUUCGAGCUUUAACUAUGAUCUUCGGUACUGAUCUAACUUUUUUUAGUCCCCCCCAAAAAAGAAGCCUAUAUAUAUAUAUAUAUGUAUAUUGUAACACAUUAGGACAUGAACUUGAAGCUUCUCAAGUGUUUAUGCAAUCCGGUUAACAUAUACAAGUUAUGAUAGGUAAAAUUGCUAAUAAAUUUAGAAGCCUAAAAUAUGGAAUUUGAUUAAGACUUACUAAUUAUUGGAGCAUUUUUUUCAUCUAGUUUUUGGAGAUUGAAAGAACUUAAAAUUACAGGUGAUCAUAUCUUAAUUGGCAGACUCUUGAUGCUGAUAAAUGACAAAAGUCGUAGAUUAGAGAGUUCUACGGAUUGAGUAGCGACUUGAGACAUUGUACAAUUUGUUCCAAUGCGAAUGAUUCAUAGUGACUGCACAUAUGGCACCUUUUUGUCGAAAUGACACAAUUUCUCUUCAUUGUGCUAGAGAAAGGUGGGUAGAUUUCUGUUGUACAAGCAUUAUUGGAAGAGAUAUCAAGCCACUCAAUGUUCAGAUGGUCCAAACAUGUGUUCAGGAGGCACUAACAUAGCAGAAAUUGAGAUAGUUUUAGUUUCAUCAUACACUAAAAAAAUAUACACCAGAGAUGGAGCGAGGUGUAGCGGAAGCGAAAAUUGAUAGGAUAGGAAACACUAGUUAUCAUUUUAGUACAGGAUUAAGCCAACGCGAUUAGGUUAUACUCUAAUCGAAGCGUGAUUAGAUAUCGUUUUAAUCCAAACGACUCAAUGGGAUUUUUAAUAACACGUGAUGUGAGAUUAGAUGACGCUCUAAUCCAAACGACUCUACAAGAGAGAUUUUGAUAGAUAAUCCCAGAGGGAAUUAUAAAAUGGGAGUUUUAUUGAAUAAUUGAAUCUGAAGUGCUCAAAACAAUGACAAGAUCUCUCUAGUUAUAAUAGAGGAAACCCACUUUCCUAAAUUAACCUAAAAGGGAAACUGAAUCACAAUUAGAAUGGAAAUAAAAGACUAAGAUACAUACCAUAAUUGACUCAAACUAAAAUAGGAAAUCCUAAAACAAUAAAUAUUCUAGAAUCCUAAAUUACCUAAAAUAACGUAAAUUAACUUCCUACAUCAUUCUUCCCCUCUUAAAAGAAACUCGUCCUUGAGUUUGAAUACAGUCUGGAGGAUGAAACUUAUAGUGUAUGAGCAAAUCAUCUUGUAAUUUGAACUUGUAGCCUUGCUCAUCAAUCUUCCUCGAAACUUUGAAGUAUCCUAACUUCAUCAACUUCCUUCGCUUGUACAUUCUUCGAGUCGAUGACGACUUUCAAGAACGAACAAUGAUCAAAUAACUCUUGCACUUCCCCAAUUGUCGCUCAAUGCGCUCGCCAAUAAGUUUCACCUUUUCAACCAAAUCUUCUUCAAGCACAAUCUUUUUUUCUUCAAUGUGAAUAGGCAGAACCAUUUCAAUCAUUUCAACUUCUUCACCUUGAUUUUGUUGUACAACCUCGAUCGUAUUGUUAAGCUCACUGCUUAAAUUAAGUGCAGAUUAUAUAUCUUCUUUAAAAAUAUCAAAUAGAUCAAUAAUAUCAUCAUCUUCAACACUUAUCUUCUCUUCCAAGGAAACAUCACGCACAUUCUUGAACAACUUGUCAGAUUGAAACCUUAAAUCAAUAACAAAUUGUACAUUUUCUUCUGGCAACUCAUGCGAGUCUUCUUCCUUAACAAUAGGAGAACUCAUUGGUACAUCUUUGGGCACUUUCAUGGUGACACGCCAUUUCUUGCUUAAAUUCUGGAUUUCGUCAAGUUUUUUAAUCACAUCAUCAAAGUUUCUUUGACGUUGCGACUUAAUUUGCGAUUCGAUUUUCUUGGCUAAAUGAAUUGCAUGCUGUAAAUUAUAGAUAGUGUAUAUAGGCAUCCUUUCUUGAAUAUGCAAAUCAAGCCCUUUAAUAAAUCUUGUAAUUGUAUUCUCUUCAGGCUCAUAAUAAUAAUGGCAUCCAUAAAAUCGUUCAAACUCAUAAGCACAAGCAGAAACAGAUCUCGUACCUUACUGUACCAAACAAUAAUCAAGAGGAAUAAACUCAGAUCGCAAAAUAUGCUUCAUACGGUUCCAUGAUUGAACUUUGCAUUUGCCUUGGUCAAGUCGAGAAAUUUGCAACUCAUCGCACCAUUCUGAAGCACUUAUGCUUAAUCUACUGGCAGUAAACGAGACUUGCUUUUCUUUAGGAGUGUGCCAAAAUAGAAACUAGUGCUUAACCUUGUCCAACCAAUCAAGAAAUUUGUUUGGACGUGUAUUUUGUAAAUAAUAUCGGCACAUGAUAAAUAGGAGGGCAAUGAUGGUAGCUUGCCAUUUAAGUUUCCACACAAUGGCAAAAUUGUAAUUAAGGCUCAACUCUCGGGUUUGGUAUGGUCGGCAGCUGGUGGCCGUGAUUGGGACCAGAGGGUAUCGGAUCUGGGAGAUUUGGUGAUAAGGAACUCGAUGAUGGUCGUGGAUCGGGCAGAUUCGCUGCGUUUUGGUCGGAAAUCUGACUUAAAGUGGCGGCUGAUUUUGGUGAUGUGGCUUUUGGUUUAUGGCGGCCUUACGGUGGCGGACGGCUGGAUUUAUGGUCGCCGAUUGCUAGGGAUUAUGGUGGUGGUAGUGCAAAUUGACCGAAAAAGGGGGUGGUUUGGUGGCGGCGCAUGUGGGAAGCACUCGUGGGUUGUCGUUUCGUGUGGUGGCUGCGGGCGGCGAUCAAGGGCUGAAGUUGGUCGGUGUUUUGGUUAGUGGAGGCCUGCAAGCUUGUUGGUAGAGGUGGUUGGCUGUGAAAGUGGCUGAAUGGUGGUGGAUUGCUUGGUGGAGCCGCGGGUUUGGGUUGGUGAUUUGCGGCGGUUGAGGCGGCGAUGGUUGAGGCUUGGUCGGCAGUGGCUAGCGAGGUUUGUGGUGGUGUUGGCUGGCUGAUCGGUGGUGGAAGUUGAUGUGGUGGCUAGGGUUUUCAAAUUUGUAAAGUUUUGAUUUAUUUUAUUUUAUUUAUUUAUUUUUUGUGAUGGAUCUGAUGUGGAUGGAUAUGGGUAGUCAGGAAAGUUGUGCAAUUCGCACAAAACUGCUCUAAUACCAACUAAUGGAGCGAGGCGUAGCGGAAGCGGAAAUUGAUAGGAUAUGAAAUACUAGAUAUCGUUCUAGUACAGGACUAAGCCAACGCGAUUAAGUUAUGCGCUAAUUGAAGCAUGAUCAGAUAUCGUUCUAAUCCAGACAACUCAAUGAGCUUUUUAAUAACGCGUAAUGCGAGAUUAGAUGACUCUUUAAUCCAAACAACUUUACAAGAGAGAUUUUGAUAGAUAAUCCCAGAAGGAAUUAUAAAAGAGGAGUUUUAUUGAAUAAUUGAAUUUGAAAUGCUCAAAACAAUGACAAGAUCUCUCUAUUAGAGGAAACCCAAUUCCCUAAGUUAACCUAAAAAAGAAACUAAAUCACAAUUAUAAUAGAAAUAAAAGACUAAGAUAUAUACCAGAAUUGACUCAAACUAAAAUAGAAAAUCCUAAAACAAUAAAUAUUCUAGAAUCCUAAAUUAUCUAAAAUAACGUAAAUUAACUUCCUACAUUAUUCAAUACAUCAAUAACAAGUGCACAAACACAAAUAUGAUACACUCAUCUCUUUAAUUAAUUCAAGGCUUAAAUACUCUUUCGGUUGAAUCCAAAUUGAACAUGGUAGCUCUUGGACACCAUCCAUGAGAAAUAAAACUAGCUUCAAAUUAGAUUUCUAAGUACUCAAACAAAGCUAGAAGCAUAAUAAGUUAGAUUUCUAAUUACUCAAACAAAGCAAGAAGCAUAAUAACGAAAUGAAGAAAGAAACAAAAGGUCCCCUCACCAACGCCAUCUGACUCUUAGUAUAUAGAAAGAACUCGAGGCCUUAUUCUAGAUGCUGCACAGAAGGUUGGCCCGCAUUGUCUUCAUAAGUUUGGACUCUCUAUAAACAAAGAGCAAAAACACAUUGAAGGUGUAGUUUUCACAUAAUUAAAUUGCACAAAUUAGCCUCCAUCAUAACCAGUUAAUGCUUAAGAACACAGAAAUCCUUCAAUUCUCUCUAUAAGCAAUUACUUUCAUUUUUUUCAAUUUCUUGUUCGCUAUAUCAUAUCUAAUAGCUAAUCUUCAACAUAACAAUACAGCAGAGUAGUUAUGUUUUAAAAAGAUGUACCAAUGUGAUUUAACAUAAAUAAAACGUAUUUAAUCAGCACAAAAAUAAAAUCAAAACCUCCCAAUUUGUAUGGAUUUUACCUUGCCACUGUCUUUUGCAUCUUCCUUCUUUUCAUUAGCCUUGUUGGGCGUCUCAUUCUUUUUUUUCCUUCUCUUCCUAAUCAGAUUUAAAAUGAAUUUGUCAAAAAUUUGAUGGGUACUUUUUCUUUUUCCUUUUUUAUAUAUAUCCGUUAUUGAAUCAAACUUUUACAAAAAAUCAACAUCUCGUAUUGAAUGAAUACAUACCUUUUUUUUUAAGAUAUAGGUAUUGAAUGGUUGUAUUAAGGUCGCGAUCCAAAGUCCAACAUUCUUCAUCAUCCCACCGUUUAAGCUGCACUUGGUGUAACUUGGGUGUGCUUAAUUCUCCUCCUGAGAAAAUGUUCAUAUUGGGGCAAUUAUCCACCACUAAUCUUUCCAGAGAUGGGAAUUUGAAGGCGCAAUUAUUGCCAGAGCAGAAUCCUGUCAGACUUUCUAAGUUCCAGAGCAGCAAUUCCUUCAAUUCGCUGAAAACAAUUUCAUUUUUUGCUGCAUAAUUAUCUCCCUCAUCACCGUCAUCUGCCACUAUUUCUAUUAUCAUCUUGCAUCUACCUAUGCCCAUUUCCCUCAGUCGCACCAGACUCUUUGCAAUUGAGGAUGUUAGUACAUUUAUCAAUCCUAUGCAAUUAUAUACCAUCAAAGUAGUUAGAUUUUGAAACGAUGUCGAGGAUGGCACUAGAUUAAUCAAAUUGUGACAGUCACAUAUGUCCAGGUUUUCCAAAUUGUUGGCAUUGGAGGACUCUUGUUUCAAAAUUUGCUUCAGACCACGAUGCCGGUUUAUUCCUCUUAUCAUUGCCUUCAUCCCGUUUUCAACCUUUCCAAAUAGUCUAAAAAUAUACUCGUCUCCUCCUAUAAUGAGAACUUUGGUUGUGUGAAAUCUCUGGAGGAAAUCGUCGAGUGAUAAAAUAGCUGUUGACUCAUCAAUCCAGACAUCAAGAAGUUUAAGUUUGCAAAGCAAGUCUUCUGGAAAUAGACCUAUGUACUUUUCAUCAAUACUCAAAUCUUCCAAAUUGGGGAACAUCUGGGUGAUCAACAAUCACAAAAAAAAAAAAAAAAAAGCAAGAGGGAGUUAAAUCUUCUUUCUAACGAUUUCAAAAAUUAAAGUAAAUACAAAGCAUUUCAAUGAUGAAUAUUGAUGGCCGGACAAAUUUAUGGAUAUGUAGAGAGAGUAUGAUUUUCAGCGGUAAUUAUUUUCUUUUUUUUUUCAAAUAUAGUAAGUGAUGUGUAUUUUUUUUUUCAUCCUCUCUUCUUAACUUUCAAAUUUUAUUAGAUUUGUGCAUAAUGUCUACAAAAAAGACUUCAAUUAUUCUCAAAUUGCAUUUGAACUUCUAGAUUCUUUUAAUCGAUCCGCUUAUUUGGUUUCAGUUGAAAAUCUUACAAAUUUCUUUUUUUUUUUUUUAAAUUGGUUUUUUUAACUUUUUUCUUUUCAAGAGCAAAAAUGAAUAAAUAACUUGAUUUUAAAAAGUUUAAUAAUAUAGUAAGAAGCUGGUAUUUCAUUAAUAUUCAUCCAACUCAAUGGAAUUGGAUAUAUUUACUAUUGUACAAGAAUGGAUUUUCUUGUACAUAAAGUUUAAUAAGAUAAGAUUUCUUCAUUUGAGUUUUGUCCAUCUCUCUCUUUAUAUUUUUAAAAAUAUUAUUUUUGUUAACACAAAAUGACCAAUUUCUUCUUCAACAUCAAAAUUGACAAUCAUUUUGUAUGUAACAAUACUGUAGUAAGGACUACUAAUUUUAAAUAGCUCUUAAAAGAUUAUCAGGGAAUUAACUGUGGCUUGAAAAACCGUAGAUAUUUUGAGUAUUUUCUUCGUUUGGCUAAUCAAAUGCAGAGUCUCUUUCGUGUAUUUAACUAAACAUAUAGACAUAAAAUAAAAAGUAGAUGAAGAAGAAAAAAACUGAUAAUUAAGAGAAAAAAUUUGAACGAGAAGGAAAAAAAAAUACUAAAUAAUUUUGUAUUCAUUCUUUCUAACUGACAUCCAAAUCCAUCUAUGGUUGUAGCCAAUUCAAUAUUCGAUAAUAAGAAGAAUUAUUGAAGAAUGAUAAUUAUGUUUAUAUCGAAUAUUGAUAAUUAUGUUUAUAAGGAUAUUAUAUUAGUAUAAAUAAGCUGAUUUAUAGAACUAACAUUUUGUUACUAAAAGACAAAUUGAUGAGGGCAAUAUAUGGCGACAAUAAAGCUCUAAACUCUCAAGUAGAAAUACUUUUAAGUACGUAAGAAUUGAACAAUAAUUACAAAAGUCUUGCACGUACCUUUUUGGUGGUCUCAUGAAUAGUGCUUUUAAAUUUCACAUGGGGACAUCCCCUUAUUAUUAAUUGUUUCAAGGAUGGAAAUUCAAAAUGCAGAUCUCCUGUGCAGAAGCUUGUAAGCUGCGGAAGAGAACCAAGUUCAAGUGUCCUUAAUUGAGUGAGUUCAAUCACUUGAGUGAUAUUAUUGCUGGAUUCAUCUCCUCUAUCGGCAGCAAAAAUCACUUCCAUAUUCUGGCAUUUUGUCACUUCAAUGGACUGAAGUUGUUGAAGGCCUCUGCCAAUGAGCAAUGGAAACACAUUUUUCAAUUUAUCACACCUUUGCACCCUUAUGUUCUUUAAUUUGCAAAAGGACUCUGCUGUGAGUGAACCACGACAUAUUUUCUCUAGGUUACCCAAAUCUUCCAGAAAUAAUGACUCCAAGAGGGGGAACGCUGUCAGCGCUGUUGCACAAUCCACUGUGUCAACAACACAAAAAAGGCUGCGAUUAUCUCGGACUUCGAGAUGCUUCAGCUGUGGAAAACCUUCUCUGCCAGGUUCACAAAGAACAUUCUUCAUGUCCAGCAAUCCAUGUAAAGAUAGGUCUUCAAUACCCUUCAAUUGCAUGAUAUGCCCCUCGCUCAGGCAAAUGUUGGCACCAUUGGUGAUCUUCAGUUUGAAUUUUCUAGAAAACCCAUCCAAUAUUGGGUCAUCCGACCACAGAUAUCCUAUGAAUAUCCUGUACCUUUUCAGGAUUUUGAAGAACAACAAGUCGCUUGGUAGAGUCUUUUCAUCUUGGAUGAGUAUUUCUAAAGAGGUCAAUUUAGAUAAAUGAUUCAACUCAUGAAGGCUGGCAUUUCUUCUUUCACUGUCGAGCCCUUCAACCUUCCCCCACUGAAUGGGACUCUCACCAAUAUACAGUUCUUCUAAUCGAGAUAAGCUUGAUAUAACAUUUGGUGGAAUAACUUUUAGUUCGAAACACUUGCUCAAAUCCAACAACCUCAAUUGAGUCAGCUGGCCCAUUUCUCCAACCAGUUUCUCCACAUCAGAACCUCGAAGUGAAAGGAUUUCUAAUUUCUUUAGGUCUCCAAUAAUAGCGAUGUCUCCUAGGUUGCAGUAAUCCAGACACAGUGUUUGAAGGUUUUGUAAGAGACCAAGCGAUGAAGGCAAUGGCAAUAAAUGCAUCUCAGUGAAAUCUAAAACUUUAAGCCCAGUCAUCCCAGUAAAAAAAUUAUCUGGGAUUCUCAAAGAUGGAUCAUUGCCAAUACGAAAAUAUUUAAGUUGCGGGCAUUCGAAACCUUGAGGAAGCUCACUAAUAUUACUAUAAAUCAAGGAGAUUGCGGUGCAAACCUUUAGUUUUUCCUUAUCUGGCCAGCUGAUCUGCGGAGCAACCUCACUUUCCACCACAAACACAUGUUGGUCUCCAGAUGCAAUUGAUAUGGCUGCAUCACGAACAACAUCAUGCAUAGAAAACCGUUCACUUGUAUUACCGUCAAGCAACAAACAAGAUUUUUUGAGUUUAUCAACCAAUGUAUGUGCUCUAUCCCACGCCUCUUCCGACGUGUUGAUGUUUUGAAACAGACCCAAACCCAUGCCAUGAUAAAGCACGUCUUUAACGCAAGAGAUGAACGCGUACCCUAUAAGCAAAAACGUUCUCUUGAGCUCCUCCCUGUUUAAAUGAUUGUAACUCAGCUCUAUACUUUUAUAUGCCACCUCCAGUGUUCCACUGAUGUUUCUGAAGGAAGGCCUUCUUAAUUCCAGCAAGGAAUCCUUCCAUUCAAACAAUCUCUUAUUUCUUAGUGCCCUGGCUACGGGUACAAUGGCAAUGGGCAAACCAGCACAUUCCUUGACUAUCUCUGUUGCUACAGAUUUCAGUUCACC